AUUGAACGCUGGCGGCAGGCCUAACACAUGCAAGUCGAGCGGAUGAAGGGAGCUUGCUCCUGGAUUCAGCGGCGGACGGGUGAGUAAUGUCUAGGAAUCUGCCUGGUAGUGGGGGAUAACGUCCGGAAACGGGCGCUAAUACCGCAUACGUCCUGAGGGAGAAAGUGGGGGAUCUUCGGACCUCACGCUAUCAGAUGAGCCUAGGUCGGAUUAGCUAGUUGGUGGGGUAAAGGCCUACCAAGGCGACGAUCCGUAACUGGUCUGAGAGGAUGAUCAGUCACACUGGAACUGAGACACGGUCCAGACUCCUACGGGAGGCAGCAGUGGGGAAUAUUGGACAAUGGGCGAAAGCCUGAUCCAGCCACGCCGCGUGUGUGAAGAAGGUCUUCGGAUUGUAAAGCACUUUAAGUUGGGAGGAAGGGCAGUAAGUUAAUACCUUGCUGUUUUGACGUUACCAACAGAAUAAGCACCGGCUAACUUCGUG
rnacentral:rRNA from 1 species